CGGCCAAAACAUUUUCCACAUUCUUCACACUGAUGUGCUUUUUCUCCUGAAUGUAUUUUUUUGUGUUUGGUCAGAUGGUCAUGCCGAAUAAAUGUUUUCCCACAUUCUUCACAUUCAUAUCUCUUGUCAUCAUGGUGGACUCUUAGAUGAAGUCUGUAAGAGCUUCCAUGACGAAAACUCUGCCCACAAAUACUGCAAAGAUGAGGCUUCUCUCCACUGUGAAUUCUCAGAUGCUCCUUCAAAGUUGUUCGUUCCCUAACAGAUUUGCCACAGAUGAAGCACGUCCAUUUUCUCUUUCCUCCAUGAGUACAUUCUAUGUGGCGUUUCAGAUUUCCUGUAUCAUUAAACUGUCG
rnacentral:lncRNA from 1 species